rnacentral:rRNA from 1 species
CCUACGGGUGGCAGCAGUGAGGAAUAUUGGUCAAUGGACGCAAGUCUGAACCAGCCAUGCCGCGUGCAGGAAGACGGCUCUAUGAGUUGUAAACUGCUUUUGUACGAGGGUAAACGCAGAUACGCGUAUCUGUCUGCAAGUAUCGUACGAAUAAGGAUCGGCUAACUCCGUGCCAGCAGCCGCGGUAAUACGGAGGAUUCAAGCGUUAUCCGGAUUUAUUGUGUUUAAAGGGUGCGUAGGCGGUCGGAUAAGUUAGAGGUGAAAUCCCGAGGCUCAACUUCGGAAUUGCAUCUGAUACUGUUCGGCUAGAGAGUAGGUGUGGUAGGCGGAAUGUAUGGUGUAGCGGUGAAAUGCUUAGAGAUCAUACAGAACACCGAUUGCGAAGGCAGCUUACCAAGCUACUUCUGACGUUGAGGCACGAAAGCGUGGGGAGCAAACAGGAUUAGAUACCCUGGUAGUC